AUGGAUAUCCUCGUCUCUGCAAUCGUGGGUGACCUCAUCAGCAGGUCUGCAUCGUUCGUGAUUAGCAGAUACUUCCAGCAGCAACCUGACAUCAAUAAGAUUCUACAGAGGCUAUGGAGUGUCCUACUGAGAAUCGGUAUCUUCGUCGAGGAGGCCGAGGCACGGCACAUCACCAACCAGGGGAUGCUCCGUCAGCUCAAGAUGUUGAGGCAAGGAAUGUACAGAGGCCACUAUGUUCUCGAUGCCUUGCGAUUCCAAGCCGCCCGCGGCGAGGAGGAGAUGAGCCACUCGUCAUCUGCACUGUCCAAAUCCAGUCCAACCAAAUGCCUUCGUUUCUCUCGCACCCGCAGUGGCAGCAGCAGCAGCAACAGAGAAGCACUGUUGUUUGGCACAAACAACAACAUACAAGACGAGCUGCAACGGAUGGUUGAUACCCUUGAAGACACCGUGGCUGGUAUGAAGGAGUUUCUUUUCUUCAUGGAGCUGUAUCCUCGGAUCCUCCGCCAACCUUAUGGUAUGUAUUUGCUAUUGGACAACUGCAUGUUUGGUCGCCAAAUGGAACGGGAACAGGUUCUGAAUUUCUUGCUUAGUCCUGGUGCUACAUCAGACUUGGCUGUACUUCCGAUUGUUGGUCCAAUAAGAGUAGGGAAGAGCACCCUUGUUGAACAUGUCUGUAGGGAUGAGAGUGUGCGCAGUCACUUCUCGAUGAUCCUGUUCUUUCCACAAGGUAGUCUCAGGGAUGAAGGGGUGGUUGACCUGAAAAGAAACAAUAUUAAUGGUCUAGUAAGAUAUCGAAACUCUGCUUCUCAGACCAGGUUGCUGAUUAUUGUUGAAAUAGCUGAGGAUAUUAAUGAAGGAACAUGGAGAAGGCUGAAAUCCUCCACAACCGGCAUGACACCGUGCGGUGGGAGCAAAAUUAUAAUAACCAGUCGAUCAGAUAGAAUUGUGAAUCUGGGAACAACGGAAGCACUUCGACUGGACUUUCUCCCUCCAGAAGCUUACUGGCAUUUUUUCAAGUCACUUGUAUUCAGAAGCACAAACCCUGAUGAGCAGCCAAAACUAGCAACAAUGGCCAUGGAGAUCGCUUUGGAACUGCGACAGGGUUUCACAAGCGCGCAUAUCGCUUCUGGGAUAUUGCGACAUAACUUUAAUGCUCGAUUCUGGUGCACAGUUCUUGAAUGUGUAAGAGAAAGUAGACAGACAAAUCUCAAUAUGUUUGGCCAGCACCCAAACCUUCGUUUACGGGAAGAUGCACCGGUGUAUUGUUGGAGAUUGGUGAAGAGCUGCAGAUAUUUCUUGAUUCACAACUAUCAUCAGUCAGAUUCCAGUGAGAAUGUCCCUAAGAUCAAUCUGAGGGACAUCGUCUUAGGAUCUGGUGGUAAACUACCCUGUGGAGAAUUUGAGGCUCUUGCAUGGAAGUCGCGCAUACCGCCCUACUACAACUACAGGGUAAGCUGUAAGAUGCAAGCACCACAACUUACAGUAGGAAGGAAGAAGCGUGUGCGUCAAGAGGAAGAACAUUUUGUUUGA
rnacentral:rRNA from 1 species